rnacentral:lncRNA from 1 species
GUGCAGCAGGCCACUAUUUGAAUGUGUGUUGCUCCUUGUGGCAGGUAUACUGUUCCAAUGCCCUGGGAUCUCUGUAGUGGUCGGUACUGUAUUGAUUAUAAAUGGUGAAGUCCUAGUAUCUUGCUAGAGUGAGCUGGCCAGGAUGGUGGAGCUCUACCACCAUUUCACAGGUUAUAGACAGGGGCCACCAGGUUUCAGGAAAGCAGCAAUGACCCCUCAGUAAUAGUUGGAAAGUGUGAUAUGACACUGAGCUUCACUGUGUUGGUGAAGAAGAGGUGAGGAAAAUAAAAGCUGCAGUUUGCCUCCACCUCUGAAGAAGCACAAUACACCUUUCUGGGUUACCAAUGGGAUACUUCCCAACAGCUUUGUCAUCACAUACAAUAUUCUCAAACAAGAUCUUAAUGGCAUCUACUUUCUCCAGGAACACAGCCCCUGACCUGUGUGUGUUUGCGUAGAGAAGGCAUGCUAUGUACCCCCUAGGAUAUCAAGAUUCCUGUAGCAGAUUGAGCUCUGGCAGUUGAUCUCAGUGGCUUGAUAGAGUGUCAUUAUAAAAACGCACCUGGAAGAUUCUGUGGAAAAGACAACCUCAGAAGACCAAGAGGCUGACUUUGCAAGAGAGAGUCCGUUUACCACUUAGAACCGUGAACACCACCCCCGCCCUCAUUUAUCUCCAGACUUGAACUAGUGGUUAAAUCCCAACAUGUCCCAGAGAAGUCAAAAGCAUUGUAAAAUCUGGGAAUCUGCCCACCACUCAAGCCUGGGAAAGCUGGCAGAGGAUGCACGUGUUUUACUCACCUGAGUGUUUACAAUGCUCGUGAGGUGCCUCCCUGAUAUUUUUAUAGCAGAAUGGAGAAACACAACCAAGGAGAUACACCUAAGUAACAACAGCAAUGAUGUCAAAAAGAGUGCCUGAAUACUUAGGGUGGAGGUCCUGGACAUGCAAACCCAAGCUUCCUCUUUGCUGUGGCCAGGAAUCUGCAGUGAUUGAGAGCACAGACUGUAUCUAAAAUUCCACCUUUCAAAGUUCAGCAUAUUACUUUUUUUUUUCUUACACCUAUAAGUACAGAGGAAUGAAGAAGGAAUAAACAGACCUUCUGGAUAAUUGCAUCAGCCUUCCCCACUAUUCCAAUGCCAUGCUAACAUUUCAAGUAAUGUCCCUUUUGUCUUGCUGAGAAAAAAUCAUUUCAUGAUUUAUUACACUGGAUUAAAGGCUAUGCACACUCUGGAGUUGGAACAUGACUGAAGGGCAAGCAAGCAUAAAGGAUAUCAGAAACAGUUGAUGUGUUUAAAUUUUUCUGAAUUUCUCAAGUAAACUUUUUAGAAAGUAGUCUGAAGAUAAAAUGGUUAUAUAAGUUACUUAAACUGUAGAUGAUGGCACCUUUAUCCCUAUAUAAUAAAAUUAAGAUAACUCUUCUGGGCACUUUAUUUGGAAUUAAUUAUUUAAUCCUCAUAACAACGCCAUGAAGAUCAUACUAUUACCAUCCAAAGUUUACUGAGGAAGAUACUGAGGCAAGAUUUACAAUCCAAAGCAGAGUGGGAGGAAGAGACCUACAAGACCAUGUUUCAUUGGAUAGCUUUGGAGUAAUAUCUAUAAUUUUAGAAAAAAGUUAAGAGGAAGAAGAAACUGGUGUCAGCUACACUUAGAAGAUUUUACAACAGAGACUGGCUUCCAUUCACUGAUCAGACAUUCACUGAUUUUUAAUUCUUACCACCAGAGAAAAAGUUGUUAUGAUGAGGGUCCUCAGGAAAGACAAUACAGUCAGCCGAGAAAUACAAUUUUCUUUGUCUACUGUUGUUUCCUUUACACGGACCAUUGAAAUAUAUACUUAACCACCAGCAAAACUCCUAUUAAACACAAGUAAAAAAAAAUCACUACAUGCAAAAGAGUGAACACCAGGCAAAGUGAUAAUUUAUGAAUUUCCAGGAUUUUUGUUGUAAUUUACCCGUGUAAGUUUACAAUAAAUGAUUGAUGUAACUAAA